rnacentral:snoRNA from 1 species
UUCAAAGAUGAAAUUGCUGCAUAGGAAGUGCCGUCUGAUGCGAUAACUGACGCUGGAUAAAGCUGCGCUGAGA